AAAUGUUUUGCUCAGUAACAAGUGGUGUGCAUACCUUAUUGUUGCCUAUUAUUUCUACUGUUUUGCUUAAUAACGUUGAGAAAUAUGUAUGUAGUGCGUAAAGGAAAGAUCCCCAAUGAUUGAAGACAAAGACGACCAAUUCUCUUAUCUACAUUGCUCUGAACAUCUUCGCAAAUGUAUGUAUGUAUUUACCAUAGUUUAUAUACCCUUUCCAGCCUCAGUGCCGAUUUCACAAUAUAUCAGCGCAAAUACAUAUAAGGAACUGGGGAUCGUGCUACUCCAUGAACGAAAGACUUGAAAGACCACGAAAGAAACGUAUAAUUGGUUCAUGGUGCUACUCUACUUAUCAGCAGAAUUUCCAUUUGUUGUUUUUCGUUUCGUUGUCAAUGGGGGGUGCAAAUUUUUCAGACGGAAUAAAUUUAUUGGUGACAGUGA